GAGCACGUAGGGGGGUUUGUAAGUCAGAUGUGAAAGCCUUCUGUUCAACGGGAGAAUUGCAUCUGAAACUGCUAAUCUUGAGUAUAGGAGGGGAGAAUGGAACUUCUGGUGGAGCGGUGAAAUGCGUAGAUAUCGGAAGGAACGCCGGCGGCGAAAGCGAUUCUCUGGCCUAUUACUGACACUCAGUGUGCGAAAGCUAGGGGAGCAAACGGGAUAGAUACCCCGUAGCAGCAAU
rnacentral:rRNA from 1 species